CCAGUGACUUUGUUCAACGGCCGCGGUAUCCUAACCGUGCGAAGGUAGCGUAAUCACUUGUUCUUUAAAUGAGGACUAGUAUGAAUGGCACCACGAAGGUUAUACUGUCUCCUUUCUUUAAUCAGUGAAACUAAUCUCUCCGUGAAGAAGCGGGGAUAUAAUUAUAAGACGAGAAGACCCUAUGGAGCUUUAAACGUGAGUAACAAUUGCCCGCCAUAAUAUUUUUCCCCGGAAACUAACCGCAAUACUUAGGCAUCUUGAUUACAAGUUUUAGGUUGGGGUGACCGCGGAGCAGAAAAUAACCUCCGCAGUGAAUGGAACUUACUUCCUAAACCCAGGGCUACGACCCUAAGCAUCAAUAAAUUGACACUAAUUGACCCAAUAUUUUUGAUCAAUGAACCAAGUUACCCUAGGGAUAACAGCGCAAUCCACUUCAAGAGCCCCUAUCGACAGGUGGGUUUACGACCUCGAUGUUGGAUCAGGGUAUCCCAGUGGUGCAGCCGCUACUAAAGGUUCGUUUGUUCAACGAUUAAAAC
rnacentral:rRNA from 1 species